UUGCGUAGGUGGCAAGUUAAGUGAGUAGUGAAAUCGUGUGGCUCAACCAUACAGACAUUACUUAAACUGGCUAGCUAGAGUGUGAUAGAGGUAACUGGAAUUACUAGUGUAGGAGUGAAAUCCGUAGAUAUUAGUAGGAACACCGAUGGCGUAGGCAGGUUACUGGAUCACAACUGACACUGAGGCACGAAAGCGUGGGAGCAAACG
rnacentral:rRNA from 1 species